rnacentral:rRNA from 1 species
UACGGGGAACCUCGCCCAUAGUCGUGGGACUACCUACGUUAGGAAACGAGGUGACUAAUACCGGAUAAGAAAGCAGAUCGCAUGAUCAGCUUUUAAAAGGCGGCGUAAGCUGUCGCUAUGGGAUGGCCCCGCGGUGCAUUAGCUAGUUGGUAAGGUAAAGGCUUACCAAGGCGAUGAUGCAUAGCCGAGUUGAGAGACUGAUCGGCCACAUUGGGACUGAGACACGGCCCAAACUCCUACGGGAGGCAGCAGCC